rnacentral:tRNA from 1 species
GCGUCUGUAGCCUAGUUGGUAAAGGCAGCACUCUAGCAUGUGCUUAGCUGAGGUCGUGGGUUUGACUCCCAUCAGACACA